rnacentral:rRNA from 1 species
AACGAACGCUGGCGGCAUGCCUAACACAUGCAAGUCGAACGAGACCUUCGGGUCUAGUGGCGCACGGGUGCGUAACGCGUGGGAACCUGCCCUUAGGUUCGGAAUAACUCCCCGAAAGGGGUGCUAAUACCGGAUAAUGUCUUCGGACCAAAGAUUUAUCGCAUUUGGAUGGGCCCGCGUUGGAUUAGCUAGUUGGUAGGGUAAAAGCCUACCAAGGCGACGAUCCAUAGCUGGUCUGAGAGGAUGAUCAGCCACACUGGGACUGAGACACGGCCCAGACUCCUACGGGAGGCAGCAGUGGGUAAUAUUGGACAAUGGGCGAAAGCCUGAUCCAGCAAUGCCGCGUGAGUGAUGAAGGCCUUAGGGUUGUAAAGCUCUUUUACCCGGGAUGAUAAUGACAGUACCGGGAGAAUAAGCUCCGGCUAACUCCGUG